rnacentral:rRNA from 1 species
UAGGGAAUCUUCCGCAAUGGACGAAAGUCUGACGGAGCAACGCCGCGUGAGUGAUGAAGGUUUUCGGAUCGUAAAACUCUGUUGUUAGGGAAGAACAAGUACCGUUCGAAUAGGGCGGUACCUUGACGGUACCUAACCAGAAAGCCACGGCUAACUACGUGCCAGCAGCCGCGGUAAUACGUAGGUGGCAAGCGUUGUCCGGAAUUAUUGGGCGUAAAGCGCGCGCAGGUGGUUUCUUAAGUCUGAUGUGAAAGCCCACGGCUCAACCGUGGAGGGUCAUUGGAAACUGGGGAACUUGAGUGCAGAAGAGGAAAGUGGAAUUCCAAGUGUAGCGGUGAAAUGCGUAGAUAUUUGGAGGAACACCAGUGGCGAAGGCGACUUUCUGGUCUGUAACUGACACUGAGGCGCGAAAGCGUGGGGAGCAA